rnacentral:rRNA from 1 species
GCCAGACUCCUACGGGAGGCAGCAGUGGGGAGUAUUGCACAAUGGGGGAAACCCUGAUGCAGCGACGCCGCGUGAGCGAUGAAGUAUUUCGGUAUGUAAAGCUCUAUCAGCAGGGAAGAAAAUGACGGUACCUGAUUAAGAAGCCCCGGCUAACUACGUGCCAGCAGCCGCGGUAAUACGUAGGGGGCAAGCGUUAUCCGGAUUUACUGGGUGUAAAGGGAGCGUAGACGGCAUUGCAAGUCCGGAGUGAAAGCCCACGGCCCAACCGUGGGACUGCUCUGGAAACUGUAGAGCUGGAGUGCGGGAGGGGCAGGCGGAAUUCCUAGUGUAGCGGUGAAAUGCGUAGAUAUUAGGAGGAACACCGGCGGCGAAGGCGGCCUGCUGGACCGUAACUGACGUUGAGGCUCGAAAGCGUGGGGAGCAAACAGGAUUAGAUACCCGUGUACC